rnacentral:rRNA from 1 species
UUGUUUACCAAAAACAUCACCUCCAGCAUCCCUAGUAUUGGAGGCACUGCCUGCCCAGUGACAACCGUUAAACGGCCGCGGUAUCCUGACUGUGCAAAGGUAGCAUAAUCACUUGUUCUCUAAAUAGGGACUCGUAUGAAUGGCCACACGAGGGUUUUACUGUCUCUUACUUCCAAUCAGUGAAAUUGACCUUCCCGUGAAGAGGCGGAAUGCACUUUGAAG